rnacentral:rRNA from 1 species
GUUACUGCUAUCGGUGUUCGCCUAAGCCAUGCGAGUCAUAUGUUCUUCGGAACAUGGCGUACUGCUCAGUAACACGUGGAUAACCUGCCCUUGGGUCCGGCAUAACCCCGGGAAACUGGGGAUAAUUCCGGAUAACGCACAUAUGCUGGAAUGCUUUAUGCGUCAAAUGGAUUCGUCCGCCCAAGGAUGGGUCUGCGGCCUAUCAGGUAGUAGUGGGUGUAAUGUACCUACUAGCCUACGACGGGUACGGGUUGUGAGAGCAAGAGCCCGGAGAUGGAUUCUGAGACAUGAAUCCAGGCCCUACGGGGCGCAGCAGGCGCGAAAACUUUACAAUACGGGAAACCGUGAUAAGGGGACACCGAGUGCCAGCAUCAUAUGCUGGCUGUCCGGGUGUGUAAAAUACACCUGUUAGCAAGGGCCGGGCAAGACCGGUGCCAGCCGCCGCGGUAACACCGGCGGCCCGAGUGGUGAUCGUGAUUAUUGGGUCUAAAGGGUCCGUAGCCGGUUUGGUCAGUCCUCCGGGAAAUCUGACGGCUUAACCGUUAG